rnacentral:rRNA from 1 species
AUUGAACGCUGGCGGCAUGCCUUACACAUGCAAGUCGAACGGCAGCACGGGGCAACCUGGUGGCGAGUGGCGAACGGGUGAGUAAUGCAUCGGAACGUACCUUUCAGUGGGGGAUAACGUAGCGAAAGUUACGCUAAUACCGCACAUUCUGUGAGCAGGAAAGCAGGGGAUCGCAAGACUUUGCGCUGAUUGAGCGGCCGGUGUCAGAUUAGCUAGGUGGUGAGGUAAAGGCUCACCAAGGCGACGAUCUGUAGCGGGUAUGAGAGGAUGAUCCGCCACACUGGAACUGAGACACGGUACAGACUCCUACGGGAGGCAGCAGUGGGGAAUUUUGGACAAUGGGGGCAACCCUGAUCCAGCCAUGCCGCGUGAGUGAAGAAGGCCUUCGGGUUGUAAAGCUCUUUCGGCCGGGAAGAAAUCGCACGGGCUAAUACCCUGUGUGGAUGACGGUACCGGAAUAAGAAGCACCGGCUAACUACGUGCCAGCAGCCGCGGUAAUAC